rnacentral:rRNA from 1 species
UGGGGAAUCUUGCGCAAUGGGGGAAACCCUGACGCAGCGACGCCGCGUGCGGGAUGAAGGCCUUCGGGUUGUAAACCGCUUUCAGCAGGGACGAGGCCUUAUGGUGACGGUACCUGCAGAAGAAGCUCCGGCUAAAUACGUGCCAGCAGCCUCGGUAAUACGUAUGGAGCAAGCGUUAUCCGGAUUCAUUGGGCGUAAAGCGCUCGUAGGCGGUCUGUUAGGUCGGCAAGUUAAAUCCGGGGGCUCAACCCCCGUCCGCUUCCGAUACCGGCAGACUUGAGUUUGGUAGGGGAAGGUGGAAUUCCUAGUGUAGCGGUGGAAUGCGCAGAUAUUAGGAAGAACACCGGUGGAGAAGGCGGCCUUCUGGGCCAUAACUGACGCUGAGGAGCGAAAGCUAGGGGAGCGAACAGG